GGCUUGGCUGUUCCUCAGUUUUACCUGAACUUAUUUACUAACAGAGAAGUGGUAGCAUGACCCAAAGUCGUUAUCGCUGGUAAGAGUGGAAAUUGCCGUGCACAUUAAUGUUGAAGGGAAUAGUGCUUCAUACAGCAGUUGAACUCAUUAUCAAAUGCUUAAAGAUUUUCCGGAACUAACUCAUGAACUGAAAAACCUCCUAACCAGGGGAUGAGAACCCAGGAAGCUCUGGAGGGUUUAGGCAGAAUCAGAGGCGCUGCCUUGGGCCGAAGAUUUGUGGGGCUCAGUGGUACAGCAUGCGUGUGACAUCAUGCACGUGAUGCGCAUUGCGCAUCUGUGAUGUCACACACUCGUCGUCAAGAGGAGGCCUUGCCCAGUGCCGUGCAGCUUCAAUGGCCACGGCUGCUCCUCUCUUGCGCUCAGGAGGAGCCUGCCUUUGAUGCUACACCAAGCUCAGAUUGGUGAUUCGGCCUCCCCUCUCCCCUCAAUAUGAGGGGAGGAGGGCUGAGCCCCUGCUAAGGAAUAUUGAGGGGGCUGAUGCCACCUCUGUCCCCUAGAGUUGGCAUGCCUAGCCAGGGUGGAGCCCAAAGCUGCUGAAGGGUUAAGGAUGCCGACCAUGCUUCUCCUCAUCUUGCAAAAAGGCUAAAAUCAUAAGAAUCAUUUCCUGUACCCAUAAUGUGAUACUGGGUUCAGUGGCCUAGUUUUACAUAUCACUUUAAACAAUAGUUACACUUAACUAUUUAAAGGUGAACUCACAGUGUGCUUUUGCAGACAUCCAACAACAUCUGGAAGGCCACAGUUUCUCCUUCCCUGAUCUACACUGAUUGCCAGUGAAGUGCGGGUUGGGUCCUUCAAAAAGGCCACCACAACCUGCUCUCUGCGUACAGGUUCAAGCUGCUUGAUGCUAUUUUAGAAUCACCAUCUUAUUAGCUCUACUAAAAGAUCAGCUGCCUUUGGCUUUUACUAGGCUACCAGACGGCAUCAGAGGGAACAAUAAUAGGAAGCAGAUCCCACUCCCAACAGUUUUUGUUUGUUUGGUUAGUCGGUUCGGUUUGUAAACUUCUUCAGAAGACUUUUUUGGCUGAGGAACAGGAUUAAAAUGCUUUAAAUAAAUAUCUGCCUCACUGUUUUGGAAUGCUGAUUGCAGAGCUAACAGCUCCCAGAAUGCAAUGCUGCUCAGUGUGCGAGCCUCUAUUAGAGUUCGGCAGAAAUUGCUAAUUGCCCGCUGUAACUCAGGGUGAUUCACUGUGCUCAUGCUGCUCAGUCAAUUGUACCUUCACCUGUGUAUAAAAGCUAUUAGAAAUAUAUGUGUAUGCAGCAAUCUAAAUGACUUAGACUAAGGAAGUGCCCUCUGUCUUUAAAAGGAAGGUAUCUAUUCCCACAUACUGAAUAUCCUUAAUGAUGUACUAUGAUCAAGUCUCCAAUUUAUAAGGAAAAAUCUAGUGUUCAAAAGCCUACUUCUCUGAAAAUUUACAUUGAAUCUCCUGAGUUCAAUGGGGCUUCAUAUUUUUAUUUUUAUGCAAUUUAUGUACUGCUUCAUUGUUCAAAAAAAAAAUCAAAGUUAUUUUUUAAAAUAGAGCAAUUAAAUCAGUCAAACAGUUAAGUAAUGACAGUAGCAAGUAAUGAUACAUAAGAAUGCAAAUCCUUAGGUUCUGUUCAGAAGUUAUGUUUCUUUAUGUAGCUGUCUGUACACAUAUAUGAACACUAGACCAUGCCAAGGCACAAAUAACACUAUCAUUGUGAAACUGGCUAUAUGUACUGUAGGGCAUUACUAAAGUUAAAAAUGUACUGAUUUUACAGAUUUAUUAAUUCAUCAUUUAUUCCACAGUGCUUCCAAUUGCACUUCAUGAUUUGUGACCUUAGUGCUUGAACAAUAAUCUCCUCCCUCAAUUACCUACCCAGACGUUGAGAUCUUCUUAUGAGAUUCUUCUUUGAGUUCCCCUGCGGUGGUGAAAGGACCAUUUUUCAGUGGUGGUACUCAGUGUUAGAAACUGAAAUAUGAAAGCUAGGAGCUAAAUAGCACCAUAAACCUAGGUUAUGGGCACCGCAAUGGAGUGCCUAGGCGCGCCUUUUUAUAACAAGAAUACAAAGCUGAAAAUGAAUGGCCUGCAGCUAAAAUAUUUUGUUCAUUUUUCACAUGGUCUAGUCCUCAUCUGAGGACUGCAAAAAAACCUCAAAUCCAUACUUCCCCUGCCUGCCACUCUAAUAUUCUUAUGAUGGUGCCUUCUCUAGUCUUCAGAGAGUGGCUGGAAGUGGGGUGGCAGAAAAGGGUCCUCCUUUCCUUCUACUGUGCAGUUUUAAUCUGAAAUCUUAGGCUCAGUACUACGCCCAGAGCUCAGAAACUGCUCGCAUGAAUGAAAUUCCCUGUCACAAAAUGCACCUAGAACAAUGGGAGUUUCGAACACUGGUGGUACCCCAAAAGAGGCCCGCUUUACACCUAUAUUAAAGGCUUUUUGGCACCUGGUAAAUACUUUUUCAUUUCCCCAAGCCUUUUAAUUCAUGUUGUACCUUUUAAUUGUAGCUCUACUGAUAUAUUUUUAAAAAAUAAUAUUUGGUGUUUUAAUGCUGUAUUGCAUAUUGCAUUUUUAUUGCAUUUUUAAAACUUUGUUUUUAUUUUGCAAGUUGCCUAGGUAACUUUUUGUCAUAUGGUAUCCUAUAAAUAGCAUGCAUGUAUAUAACAGUUUACAAUCCUUGUCUCUUAAUAUGCACACAGCCAAACAUCAAAAAGCCAGUUUUGCAGGUGACCAGCGAAAAGAGCUUUGGAAUUUGAUCUUUACCAUAGCUCUGGAGUAGAAUGCUGCUGCCAGAAAGUAUAUUACAUAGAUUAGUAGAACUACAGCUUGCCUAGAAAACCCCUUUCCUGUCCGACUUCCUGCCACUGCUAUAAUUAAAGCUCUGAGUCAGUCCCUACUAGUCACUACAAUGGUAUUCUAAUGUCACACCCAAAAAACCCUAGAGCAAGAGAAAGCUCUGGUGCUGUGUAAUAAUACACCGCACAAACACACACCCAUGGAAUUUCUGUGCUGUGCAGUUUUCUGUCUCAUCCCAUCCCAAUAUAGCUCAUCGUCUUCACUCAUCCCGGCCAUUGUCCCAGCUUUGACUGAACAAAUUCCAUUCUUCUAGUUAUUAUAACUUUAAAAAGGUAGAAGGAGCAGAUGUUCUUCCACACAAUUGGGUUUUUUUUACUUCUUUUUUUUAAUACCUUCACAUUUUGUGCAGCUGUGAAAAUCUGAACUGAAAGGGCAAUGUGAAGCAGAAACCACAGCAAGGCAUCUUCUGAGACAUCCCAGUUGUUGCUUCAGAGAAAGCUAGUCGGUUUUGGUCACUGUAUGCGAUCCAAAUUGAGGAGCAGAAGGCAGAUACUUGUGGCCUUGGCACUGAACCAAACAGAAGCAAAUUCAAUUGCAAUUCAGACUAGCCCUGAAUCUGUAUGUUUUCUAAAAGGUUAGCUCCAAUACCAUAGGCCUGAGAAGACAUAUAUAUUAAGCUGAUGCCUAAAGUAAAUAAUGUAAGGACAAUGUCCUGGUUCCCAGCUGCCAUAGAACAGAGACGAUGUGAAAUUCCUUCCAAAGGUUUAAAUAUUUAGUAUACUGCCAUACAUACACAGAUUAAGGUAAUGCUGUUCAGCAAGGGGGUGAACUGUACCUUGGUUAUAGACAGGACACCCAUCUAUGCUGAAAUAUUAACAUCAAACAAGAAAACUGUUCUGUCUCCAUCUGAAAGCCAAGCUCCCGUUUAAAAUUUGGAUAGACAAUUUCCCCGGGAAACAUGGAUUUCGACAGGAUGUUGGUUUUUGGAACUGAAUAUCAGUAGUAUCCAGAUUUCAUAGAUGGUUGUCAUAGGUUGGGUCAAGCUCAGAUCAAUAAUUAUAUAGGAGAAAACCUAAUGUAAGGAAUGUUCAUAGUUGACUUCGAAGGGAGUGACACACAAAGAGAGUUUGUACAUGUAAUUGUUUCUAAGCUCUUGUCAUCAUGUUGUGAAAUGUAUGACCUAAGUAAUUAUACACAAUAGAUUAGUCAUAAUGAUCUCAGCAUCUUACCACAUGUAUCUAUUAAUCAACCUAAACCUAUGUAACCAGAAAGAUUGUUUAUGACAUAGAAAUAAGAAAUAUAUUCUAUUUUUAGCAGCUUCCACGGAUACAACUGCUACAAAUGGAAAGUGAGGUCAUGUGGCAAACCUGCUCUCUGCUGACCAUCAGCUGAAGCCUUCAGUGCUAUAUAGUGUCUGGGCAAAUGUGAUGUAAUCUUAUUUUAUUUAGUACUUGACAAUGCAUUCCAUGCAUUUUUACUCAGAACUAAGCCCCACUCUGUUCUAUGGGAUUUACUCCUAUCCUAUGUAAUUGUGCAUCGGAUUGCACAAUUUAAAUUGCUUUAAAAGUUGUUAAAAACAAAUGAAUAUAUGCUGGCAUACGCUUUUGUAAGCUACAGUCUACAAGAGCUACAAGGGACAGAAAUAACAGACUUGGUUGGUUUGUUUUUGUUUAAUAUCAACCAGCCACAAUGAAGGCAACCAGGCAGGGGGCAGGAUUUGGUAGAGAUAAUAGUAUUGUAUGUGGUUUGGAUAAACUGGAAAGAAAAUUCUCUUCCAGUCUCACAACACUAGAAUUUGAGGUUCUUCAAAGGAAUUGACUGAGUAUUCAGAGGCAGGUUACCCUUAAUACUAGUUGUCUGAGGGACAAGGAGGGAGGCUGUCCAGAUUCCCAGAUCUAUGUAAAGGUAAAGGGACCCCUGACUGUUAGGUCCAGUUGCGAACGACUCUGGGGUUGCAGCGCUCAUCUCACUUUACUGGCUGAGAGAGCCGGCGUACAGCUUCCGGGUCAUGUGGCCAGCAUGACUAAGCCGCUUCUGGCAAACCAGAGCAGCACACGGAAACGCCGUUUACCUUCCUGCCGCAGCAAUACCUAUUUAUCUACUUGCACUUUGACAUGCUUUCAAACUGCUAGGUUGGUAGGAGCAGGGACCGAGCAACGGGAGCUCACCCCGUCACGGGGAUUCGAACCGCUGACCUUCUGAUCGGCAAGCCCUAGGCUCUGUGGUUUAGACCACAGCACCACCCGCGUCCCCCAGAUCUAUGUAGGCUGGACUAAAUAGACCCUUGCUCUGAUUCAGCAGGACUCUUAUGUACUUUUGUAGACAGGUGCCUACGAAAAGCUGUGCCAGAAUAAAAUAAUCUAUACUAAAAAUGUCCCCUACUGUACUCUUCUUUUUGUAGGCAUUUUCAUUUAAAUUUGCACUCCAAUCUGGUAAACAGAAAAGAAAGUAAACUCUAUUAAACUCAGUGGGACGUACUGUGCAAUCCUAAUGUCCACUCAUAAGUAAUUCAGUGAGGUUUACUCCCAGGUAAGUGGGGAUAGGAUUACAGUUACUGUAUUUGUGAAUAAACAUGUGUAAG